UACGUAGGGGGCAAGCGUUGUCCGGAUUUAUUGGGCGUAAAGGGCGCGCAGGCGGUUUUGUAAGUCUGUCGUGAAAUCCCCGGGCUCAACCUGGGAAUUGCGAUGGAGACUGCAAGGCUAGAAUCUGGCAGAGGGGGGUAGAAUUCCACGUGUAGCAGUGAAAUGCGUAGAGAUGUGGAGGAACACCGAUGGCGAAGGCAGCCCCCUGGGUCAAGAUUGACGCUCAUGCACGAAAGCGUGGGGAGCAAACAGG
rnacentral:rRNA from 1 species